UACGUAGGGUGCAAGCGUUGUCCGGAAUUAUUGGGCGUAAAGGGCGCGUAGGCGGCGUGACAAGUCACUUGUGAAAUCUCCGGGCUUAACUCGGAACUGCCAAGUGAUACUGUCGUGCUAGAGUGCAGAAGGGGCAAUCGGAAUUCUUGGUGUAGCGGUGAAAUGCGUAGAUAUCAAGAGGAACACCUGAGGUGAAGACGGGUUGCUGGGCUGACACUGACGCUGAAGCGCGAAAGCUAGGGGAGCAAACGGG
rnacentral:rRNA from 1 species